GAUGAACGCUGGCUACAGACUUAACACAUGCAAGUCGAGGGGAAACGACGGGGAAGCUUGCUUCCCCGGGCGUCGACCGGCGCACGGGUGAGUAACGCGUAUCCAACCUGCCUCUGACUGAGGGAUAACCCGUCGAAAGUCGGCCUAAUACCUCAUGGCAUCGUCUGCGGGCAUCCAACGACGAUUAAAGAUUUCAUCGGUCAGGGAUGGGGAUGCGUCUGAUUAGUUAGUUGGCGGGGUAACGGCCCACCAAGGCGACGAUCAGUAGGGGUUCUGAGAGGAAGGUCCCCCACAUUGGAACUGAGACACGGUCCAAACUCCUACGGGAGGCAGCAGUGAGGAAUAUUGGUCAAUGGGCGAGAGCCUGAACCAGCCAAGUAGCGUGCAGGAAGACGGCCCUAUGGGUUGUAAACUGCUUUUAUGCGGGGAUAAAGUGAGGGACGUGUCCUUCAUUGCAGGUACCGCAUGAAUAAGGACCGGCUAAUUCCGUGCCAGCAGCCGCGGUAAUACGGAAGGUCCGGGCGUUAUCCGGAUUUAUUGGGUUUAAAGGGAGCGUAGGCCGUGGAUUAAGCGUGUUGUGAAAUGCAGGUGCUCAACGUCUGCACUGCAGCGCGAACUGGUUCACUUGAGUGUGCACAACGCAUGCGGAAUUCGUCGUGUAGCGGUGAAAUGCUUAGAUAUGACGAAGAACUCCGAUUGCGAAGGCAGCUUGCGGGAGCACAACUGACGCUUAAGCUCGAAAGUGCGGGUAUCGAACAGG
rnacentral:rRNA from 1 species